CGGUGUUGGACCGCAGAAAAAGUAAGAAAAAGAAAAAUCGGCCCGCGGAGCCCGUCGGGAGGAAAGGAUAAGGCCGGCGGGUAGAAGGAAUAGGAAGAGUGGGGUCCGCGCCGUGGGGCCCAGUGGUUCGUGAGAGAGGGUAGAGAGUGGGUGAGUAAGAAAAGUAUUCCGGGUGAUUUUCGGGAAAAAUUAGAUUUCCUUUAGCGAAAUAAUUCGUUUAAAUUCGUUUUACACCUUUUUAAUCACAGAAAUUUGUAGGAGUGUCCAAAAUUAGUGAAACCAAUUUUGUUAGGCUUAUUUUAUUUUCCUUUAUGCAAUAAAAUUUUUACACCCUAGGAAAAUAAUAAAAAUUCGGGUAUUUAUUUAAUGCUUUCCUUUUUAAGGUAAUUAAAUAAAUACUUAAUAUUUAUAAAAUGUAGUGAAUAAUACUUUAUCAAUCACAAAUAAUUCUUAACCCAUAGGAAAUCAGAUUUUCAAGUUAGGAAAUAAUUACCACUUUUUCUAAAAAUAAAAGAAAAAGCUAUAAGAGGGUUAAAUAAGAAAAAUAAAAGUGUAGAUUAAUCUUUUUAGAUUUUUGUGUGUUGGCUUGCAACUUUAUCAUGAUAAGUCGUAUAGUCCUUGCUGGCUUGCAACUUUAUCAUGAAGGAAAGUUGUAUAGUCUAUAUUCAAAAGGUUUGCAUUCUAACCCCUGCAUGUAUUUAUGCCGUAGAUCCCGAAGCACCGGAAGAAGAUUUUUGGGAAUUCUCAGAGGGACCUUCGGAAUCUGAAGAAGUGUUUGAGUUUGUUCCCUAUGAAGCAAAUCCGUCAGCUUCUACUAAUCUUUUUAACGAACAAGGCAAGCCCCGGUGCAUUUAUACCUAUCUAUUUUGGAGUCGUUAUUUCAUGUGACUAGUUGUAGGUUAAUUGCUAUAUGUAUGCACUAAGUCUAGGAGUUGAUUGAAACCUAUUCUUGUGUAUGAUCAUGCCUUGAUUUAAGGACAUCUUUGCCACUUGUUCAAAUCUUAGAAACUACCCAAGUCUAGAAUUGCUUACUUGCUUACAUGCUUGGUUUACCAACCUUAAGGAAAACUCUUAAGUCAUACAUGCUGCUUAUGAAGGAUAGCUUGGAAAGUGAAAGCGGACAGAAGCUAGAGAUAUAGUUCUGUCUGCUAGAUUAAUUUGGUUAAGGCCCGAUUCGUGUCUUAACUUUUGAUCAAGUGAUAAGCAUCUGAUCACUUACUGGGUAUGGGACCAGUAAAGCCUAGUAGAUUAGUAAAUUCUAUGAUCAGGAAUGCUUCGUACCCGCGCUUGACGUGCUGGAGAUUGGCAGGGGUGUAGCCUGAAACUCACAUGGAGAUCGGGCCAGACGUGGGGUCCCAUGUGGGGGUGCAUCCCUGCGCCCGGGUAGUCGUAUUCCUAAUCAUUGACUUUGCUAAUCGAGAGGUUGUUAAUACGACCUGGACAGUCGUAUAAUGCUGGUGAUCAGGGUACUCUCCUGCAGGAUGUAAUUAGAUCCGGAUCGCCGCAAUUCUUGGUUAUGAAUGCACUUGAUCGCUGUUGAGCAUCGUAGUAUUAAUUCAUGCAAUAUAAAAUCUCCUGUUGUCAAGUAAUGUAUGAUUUAACAGCUAUGGUUGCUUUUACUUCUGAUAUCACUUAGAACGGUUAGGUAAUGACAUAACCCAAAUAAAGGAUAAAACUAAGGCUUUACUCGUAGUAAGCUUUUUCGGCAAAAAUUGUGUCAACCAAACACACCCAGAGGCUGACAUGCAUUCCAAAGAAAACUAUUAUAUUGGUUAGUCGGGUAAGACUUGCUGAGUACCCCGUACUCAGGGUUUUCCCCUUGUGGUUAUCUUUCAGAAGCUCCACAGGAGGCUACAGAGGAGGAGACCCCGAAGCCCUAGGGUAUUGACCUGAGUCCUACAAAUACCCUAGAGAAAAGUUUAUCCACGCAUCUUCUCCUGAACUAUUUAUGUUUAAUCUUAGAACUGGUUUAACACUGCAUCACUAAGUUCGUUUCAACUUAUGUCCUGUAAUAACUCUCUUAAUUAUGUAUGUAAAAAUGUAAUGUUUGUUGAUAUUAUCCCAUCGCGGAUAUUAUCCUGAUGUAUGGUGAAGAGACACGCCGUGGAUCCUUCGAGGAGUCCUAGGGACACUCGACGGACUACCGGACUUAUGUUGUUUUAGGUGUGUUUCGGAUAAUUGCCGUUCCAACGGCGAUUAGGCGCAUUUAAACCAGCUUAAGUUGGGCGGUUCCGCCACAGCUGGUAUCAGAGCCGUAGGUUGGGAUAAUCAACAGAUAUUACCUUUUAAACACUGAGACUCUAUUUUAAAAUAAUAAAAACAAGAGUCAUAGGUGGCAGUAGUGUUAACUGGUUGAUUGUUUUGCAGAUGCUAACUGUUUGCUGCGUGUCGCUAGUAUUCGGUAGUUUAUUAUUUAGGGAGAGAUUGCGAUGCCACCAAUUUUCCUACGAGUGUGUAUAUGAGUCUGAAAGCACGUAGGAAUCGUUGCAUCAUGUUUGCAUUGCAUGUUUUAAAACUUUUGGGUUUGGUGAGUGCCGUUAGACCUGAUCACGUUUCUUUUAUAGGAUGUUUGAAGAAGGCUACACCGAUAAGGAUGGGUGGACCCGCGGUCGUUACUUGGAUAAGCCGGGAUUCGUGCAGUUACUUUGGAAGACGCUACAAGAGUUGGGUUUUCAUAAUCCCCCGGAGUAUUAUUGGAGAAAAGAAGAUACUGGCCACAAGCAAUAUUGCACGGUGUAUGUGCAUAUCCCGGAUGAUGACACCCGACCUAAUUGGCGUUUGGAGGAAGUGAUGGAGUCGGGUUUUGAAUUCAAUGAUACCAUAGAAAGGGCAGCUAUGACAGCUCUUACUGAGCUAUGUGAGAACCACAAGGUGGAGGUAGGGUCGAGCUCCGCUCGAUUCUAUCCAAUCAAGCAUCAAGAUGACAGGGUAUGGAAGAGGAGGAUUAAAGCUUUGAAGAACACAUCCCGAGUGGAGCACGAUGUGUUGGUGGCUGCUGCUUCUGAUUAUAUGACAGCUAUGUACAACUUGCAUCAAGCUUGUAUCCGAGAAUAUUAUAAUCAGAGGCAGAAGAACGAAGAUGCUAGGAUGGAAGUGAUGGGUGCCCGGUAUGACAAGGAGAUGUACAAGAAGGCGGCAAUGGCAAGGGAGCAUGAGAUGGAAAAAGCAAUGCGAGAGCAGUCUAGAAGGAUUGAAGAUUAUGAAGAAAAGCUUAGGGUGAUGCAAGGGUUCAUCGAAGCCAGUCGGAGCAUGGCGGAUAGAGCAAGGGAAGAAGCUGAAUCCAAUGUCCACAGGCUGGAGGCGGAAAGGUUCCAACAGCUAGACGAGAUUCUGUCACUUCGUCUAGCCCUGGAAGAAAUGCAGGCCCAGGCACCUGCACAGAAUAUUGUCAAUGUCCCACCACCUCCCCCACCAGAAGAGCCUCAACCACCGAACCCGGAGGAAGCGGAUCAACUAGUACCUGUGAUAGAAAUGGAAGAAGAUCCGGUGCCACCAGCAGAUCCUGAGAUAGAUCUUUAUGCUCACGAGAAUCUGGAAGGAUUUGAUGUGGACAUGGAGGAUGACCAGGGCGAAGUCCCUGCGGGAAAUCAACAGUUUGCUUGGGCCAAUGCCAAUGCCGAUGGACUAGAUCCUCAGGGCUAUGGUCCCAUGUAGUAGUGGGGAGAAGAAGAACCCGAAGGCGGAGAAGAAGAAGAGGAUCCUGAAGAAAUGGAAGGAAACUCUGGAAUUAGCACCUCUGAUACUUCCCGCACUUGGAGUGACUACGGACCGGAGUCCGGAAGUGAAAAUUCUGUCAAUCAAGCCCCACCUGUUGCUCCCCCAGGACAAACCUUGAUGACCGUGGACCAAGAUGUCCUGCAGGAAGCCAUGGCUCGACUAGGAUUAAAUGCCGAAGAACUGGGCAUUUUCCCUUAUGACGGUUGAAGUGAACUUGGUUUGAAAGUGCUGUAAUAUAUUGUUGUAAAAUAUGUGUGUGGGACAAGUGGUACGAAGGGGUUUUUGUAAAAAUUAACUCCUGGGCAUGUAAUAUAAAUAAGUAUGUACAUAAGUAUGGUUUGUGUGUGAGCAUGCUGUGAUGUGUGACAUGUUAGUGUGAAGAAAAUUGUUGAGAAAAUGCACCUUAGAUAUUAAUAUCUUGUUACUCUUGGCAGCAUGACAGAUCCCAGAGAACCCCGAGCUUCAGGUUCCGGAGGACAGGAAGAGGAUUUACCCAGAGCACCCACGCUGGUUGACGCCAUAGCCAGUCUGAUGAAUUCUGGGGCAGAACAAGCCCGAUUACUCCAAAUGAUAGUACAGAACACUGGCAACGGUGGACGUAGGAGAGAUCCGGAGCAGGGUGUGUCCUACACCCAAUUUCUGGAAACCCGUCCCCCAGUAUUCUUGAAGGCCAAGCAUCCAUUGGAGGCUAACGAGUGGCUUCAAGCCAUGGAACAAAAAUUUCGAGUAAUCCCCCAAUGUACUACCGCUCAGAAGGCCGAAUUUGCAGGGCUCCAGCUUCAAGGUCCCGCAGCAACUUGGUGGACCAGUCAUCUGGCCAGGCAGCCAGUGGGGAGGGAAGUUACAUGGGAAGAUUUUAAGGAAGCCUUUCGGACGCAGUUUAUACCGGAAGGUGUCAUGAGAAUGAAACUGGAACAGUUCUUGGGACUACAACAAGGAACUCGCAGUAUUCUGGCAUAUACCAGUGAGUUCGAUCACCUAGCCCAAUAUGCACUAGAGCAUGUCAACACUGAAACCAGAAAGAGGGAUUGUUAUCUUAGAGGACUUAACGCAAGAAUGCAGGAGAAGCUAUCCACCUGCAUUUUCACCGAUUAUAGCUCCGCGGUGAGUACGGCUAUUACCGCGGAAGAAAAGAUGAAAAUAUUGGAUGAAACCUUAAGAAAAGAAGAAGCAUUGAAGAGGAAGAAUGUCCCUUCUGGGAACUUUGGGAAUGCUCCCCAAAGAAUGAGGAUGGUAUAUAGAGGUCCUCCCCGACCCAUGUAUCGUCCUUCAUUCCAGCAACGGCCUUUCCAGUCUUGGAAUGCUAGAGCUCCCAGUGCUGCCCCUCGUCCUGGAACUACACCACCUUUCGGGUUUCGUAACCCUACUCCUUCGGGAACCCCACAGGUUUGUUUCAACUGUGGGAAGCCAGGACAUUUCGCCCGAGACUGUCGUUUUCCCAAAGUUGGGGGAAACGCAAAUUUAAAGGCUCAGACCUCGGGCCAAGGCACUGGACAAAAGUUUGUCCGUCGCAAGUUCGUCAACACCAAGACGGGACAAGCUCACUAUAUGACUGUAGAAGAAAUUCCAGAAGGAGAGCCAAUCCUAGCAGGUAUGUAUCUUGUUAACAAUUAUCCUGCUAUGGUUUUAUUUGAUUCCGGCGCAUCACAUACCUUUAUAAGUAGAAGGUUUGUUACACAACAUCAACAAGAAGUUCAUACCUUAAAUGUCAAAUAUGCUAUUCAAGCUACUAGUGCCACACAGAAUACAAAUCAAGUAGCUCGCAAUGUGAUUUUAAACCUAGAAGGAAAUAAGGUGGGAGCUUAUCCUUUAAUUCUGGAAGAUCAAGGAAUAGAUCUUAUUUUGGGAGUAAGUUGGAUGAAAGAACAUGAAGUUCAAAUUAAUAUGGUUACUCGGGUCGUUAGCAUGAAAGAUGACCAAGGCCACCUUUUUGAGCUCCAGUUACCUGCUCAUCCUUAUUUGGACCAGAUGGUCAAAAAGACUAGAGCAGUGACUCUAGAAUCUAUUCCUGUGAUUAAUGAGUUUCUAGAUGUAUUUCCAGAAGAUUUGCCUGGGCUACCGCCUGAUAGAGCGGUAGAAUUCACUAUUGAGUUAGAACCAGGCACCGCUCCUAUCUCUAGAAGACCAUAUCGAAUGCCACCUAAAGAGCUAGCAGAAUUAAAAACACAACUCCAAGAAUUGUUGGAUAAGGGUUUCGUCCGACCUAGCACUUCACCAUGGGGCUGCCCAGCUCUAUUUGUUAAAAAGAAGGAUGGCACAUUAAGGCUAUGUGUAGAUUACCGCCCUUUGAAUGCGGUAACCAUCAAAAACAAGUAUCCGCUGCCACGGAUUGACUUAUUAUUCGACCAGUUGUCCGGAGCUAAGGUCUUUUCAAAAAUCAACCUUUGGUCAGGAUACCACCAGAUUAAGAUAAAACCCGAGGACAUACCAAAAACAGCCUUUUCGACCCGAUAUGGACUAUAUGAGUAUUUGGUUAUGUCUUUCAGACUGACAAAUGCCCCAGCGCAUUUUAUGUACCUCAUGAAUUCAGUAUUCAUGCCGGAGUUAGAUAAAUUUGUGGUCGUCUUUAUAGACGAUAUCCUUGUCUUUUCUAAAAAUGAGGAGGAACAUGCGCAACACUUGCGCAUUGUUCUAAAUAGACUCCGGGAACACCAGUUGUAUGCCAAGUUUAGUAAGUGUGAAUUCUGGUUAAAGAAAGUUCCAUUCCUUGGGCACAUACUGUCCGAAAAAGGAAUUGAAGUGGAUCCCGGAAAAGUCAAGGAUAUACUGGAUUGGAAAUCACCAACUUCUGUUCAUGAAGUAAGAAGUUUCUUGGGAAUGGCUGGCUAUUACCGUAGAUUCAUUCCCAAUUUCUCAAAGGUUUCUAAGCCAAUCACAGAGUUAUUAAAGAAGGACACGAAAUUUGAAUGGAAACCUGAGUGCGAAGAAGCAUUCCAAAUCUUAAAGAAAUUGCUGACUACAGCCCCAGUGCUAGCUCAACCUGACAUAGAGAAACCUUUUGAUGUAUAUUGCGAUGCCUCAGGAACAGGCAUUUGGUGUGUUCUGAUGCAAGAAGACAGGGUUAUUGCUUAUGCUUCUCGUCAGUUGAAGCGUCAUGAAGAGCAUUACCCCACUCAUGAUUUAGAGCUUGCUGCCGUAGUGCAUGCACUAAAGAUAUGGUGACACUAUCUUUUAGGUAGUGAAUGUCGUAUCUUUACUGACCACAAAAGCUUGAAAUACUUCUUUACUCAGAUGGACUUGAACAUGAGGCAAAGACGGUGGCUAGAACUGAUUAAAGACUAUAAACUAGAAAUUCAUUACCAUCCUAGUAAGGCUAAUGUGGUGGCCGACGCCUUGAGCAGAAAGGCCCAAUGCCACUGCACUACCGUCCAGUCUAACUUGAAGACCUUGUGUGAAGAAAUGGGAGAAUUGAGUUUGGAAAUAGUAAAACAAGGCACCCUCCAGAAUAUUAUGGUUCAAGAUACCCUAAAAGAAAGAAUCAUAACAGCCCAAAAAGAAGAUCCAUGGAUUAAGACACUUUAUCAGCAAAAAGCCGAGGGGAAGAUUCCCGAAUUUAAUCAAGAAGAAGAUGGAGGACUGUACUUCAAGAGCAGGAUAGUGGUUCCUAAAGACGAAGAUCUAAGGAAAUUAAUCUUAGAAGAAGCACAUCUGUCCAAAUUCUCCAUUCAUCCCGGAACAAAUAAAAUGUACCAAGAUUUAAAGCAAAGAUUUUGGUGGGCCAAAAUGAAACCUGAAAUUGCAAGAUAUGUAUCAGAAUGUGAUACUUGCCAAAGAGUUAAACCCAUACUACAAAAGUCGGCAGGUUUGUUACAACCUUCAGAAAUCCCUGUCUGGAAAUGGGAAGAUAUUUCUAUGGAUUUUAUAGUAGGACUGCCUACCACUUCAAAAGGAUAUGAUUCCAUCUGGGUUAUUGUCGACCGCCUUACUAAGUCAGCUCACUUUAUUCCAGUCAAGACUACUUACCCGGUGUCGACAUGUGCCAAACUCUAUAUAGCCCGGAUUGUAUCCUUGCACGGAGUGCCGAACACCAUAAUCUCCGAUCGAGGUUCCCAGUUUGUUUCCAGGUUCUGGGAACGAUUACAAAAGGACAUGGGUACUACUCUCAUUAGAAGUUCUGCUUAUCAUCCUCAAACUGGAGGACAGACAGAAAGGGUCAAUCAAAUUUUAGAAGACAUGUUAAGAGCAUGUGUCCUUACCUUCUCUAAGCUAUGGGAUGAAUGUUUGCCCCUAGCUGAAUUCUCCUAUAAUAAUAGCUAUCAAGCUAGCAUUAAGAUGGCACCUUUCGAAGCCUUGUAUGGUCGAAGAUGCCGAACUCCUCUAAAUUGGUCAGGAGUAGGAGAAAGGACACACCUGGGGUCGGACUUGGUUAUGGAAACCAAGGAGAAGGUCCAGAAAAUUCGCAAGCAUUUAGAAGUAGCCCAGUCCCGGCAAAAGAGUUAUUCAGACAAAAGAAGACGGUCCUUGGAAUUUUAUGCCGGAGAUUUUGUAUACUUAAAGGUAUCCCCAAUGAAAGGCGUACAGCGCUUUGGAGUAAAGGGUAAGUUAGCCCCGAGAUAUAUUGGUCCCUAUGAAAUUCUGGAACGAAAGGGUCCAGUGGCAUAUAAACUGUCAUUGCCAGACCAACUUGCUUCUAUACAUGACGUAUUUCAUGUAUCCCAGCUUAAGAAGUGCCUAAGAGUUCCAGAAGAAAUUUUAGAAGAUCCAGAAAUUGAGCUCGAGCCAGAUCUAACCUAUGAAGAAAGACCUAUUAAAAUUCUGGAUCAAAAGACACGAGAUACCCGAACUCGGAGUAUCACGUUUUAUAAAGUACAAUGGAAAAACCAUACUCCGGAUGAAGCUACUUGGGAGAAAGCUGAAGACCUAGAGUCUAAAUAUCCGGAAUUAUUUGAAACCGUCAGGGACUGAGGAACAAAAGCCACCACCCCACUAUCCUUGUACAGAAAAAGAAAGAAUAAUUGACCUGACGCAGUUUCCUUUCCAUUCCAAAAACCAAGGAUUUAACCCAAGGAAUCUCGGGACGAGAUUCUGUUAAGGGGGAGAGGCUGUAAUAAUUGCCAUUUGAGGUAUUAAAGUAACUAUGAGAAAUCAGAAAGAAAUCCAAAAGAAAAAGAAAAGAAAUUGGCAAAAAGAUCAAAUUCGGUCAAAUUUGACCGAAAUUUGAAUUUCAAAUUUGAAAUUCAGAAAAAUUUGCCAAAAAUGUGGAAUACAAGUGUAAGAGUGUUUAGGACUGAAAGAUCAAAAAUUUGGGACCAAAUUAGUGCCAAUUAUCUCAAAGGAAUCAAAGAAAGAAAAAGAAAAGGGACGUGUACUGUUCAUCGUCCGAAAAUAGGAUUCAGAGAAAACAGCUUCAAAGUUCAUUUUGGAAAUUGAUUUCUGGAGAAUUUUUCAAAUAAGUGCACUAGAACAUCUACACUAUAUUGAAGUAUCAAUCUUGGACUACAAUAUUCAUGUGUUGUUGGCCAGGAACAGUAAAGGGAAGGAAUUCAAACUCAAGCUCAAAGUCAGCACAAAAUCACAGUUAACUGAAACUCUGAAUUUGACUAAGUCUGAACAGCAGCAAGGCGUCAACUUGGAGCUCGAAUUCAGAGCAAUGUAGCUAAAAGGGGGUACUUGUUCAUGAGAAAAAUGGAACAUUGGGACAUUGUAGAACAUAUUUAAGAAGAAAUUGGACUAUGGGGAGAAGGAUUGGACCACUAAAUCAAGUCACCAAGUGAGAUCAGUGACACUGUCGGUGACUGACGAAACUGAAUGACAGUUUCAGUGCAUUUCAGAAGAAACCGAGAAACAAAUCCAAAUUCAAUCCUAUUUGAUGAUUAUCUCGGGAUGAAGCCAAAAUAAAAGAUGGAGAGUUUGAGAUUAUCUCCAACUUUGGUUCAGACGCUAGAGGCCGUCAGAUGGAAGAUCGACCACCAGUCGGCUCUGAAGGUCACGGGCGUCAGAGGAACGGUGACAGAGCUCCAGACGUGUCGCCGCCGCCGUCGUCGGUCGACCGCCAGAGCGACUAGCUAGGCCACCUCCUCACCACGCAAGCCUACGGGUAGGCCACGGUGUCGUCCAUGCGCGAGGUUAAACGCUUGAAUGUUUACUGCUCCCGCGCCGCCGUUUCACCGUCUCCCCUUUUUACCGCCGCCCACUCUUCUCUGUCAAAGCACCGCCGCCGAGCAAAAUUCCACCACCUCCCCGCAGCUCCCGUCGAUUCCUCUCGCCCACUUCCCCACAGACACCCUAGCUACACCCCGAGCCAGUCGUAGUCCCACAUCCAUGCCGGAGUAGCCGUGCUCGCCGCCGCUUCUGUCCGCCGCCGUCGCGCCGCCCGCUCACGGUGAGAACCACCUUGCGCUGCUUCUCUUCUGUCUUGAGUAGUCGUAGUCGAGUCUCUAGUGUCCUAGGAUGGAGUAGAGGUAGUUGUUUGAGUCGGUUAAGCUGUUAUCGUGAGUAGCCACGGCCGGCCGAGGGAGUCGCCGCCCGUCGCCGUGGAGGGGAGGGCUCCAGCCAUCUCCCGGGGAGCUGUUGCCGCGCACGGGGUCGUGUAGGUGUAGGAGUGGUGUUGCGACCUAGUCCCGCCGCUGGGAGGGCGCCGGCCGGCGAGCCGCGCCGCCCCCUGUCACGGGUGUGUUUUGGCGGGAGGUAGGAGAAGGCGCUGGGCGCUCGGGCCCGCGCGUCAGAGGAGAAAGAGGAGGGAGGAGGCAGGCCGGGGCGACGCGAGCGGUUGCUGGGCCGCGGCGCGUCGUAGAGGCCCAGUAGCGCGCGGGUCAGCUGAGCUCGGAAGGAGGCCGGAACGGCGCAGUCGCUGGUUGGACCGGCGCGUUGGAGGCCCAGUAGCAGCGCGCGCGCGGUCGGCGAGAAUCGGAAAAAGAGGCCGGAGGCCCAGAGCAGUAGCGGGCCGGCAUCGCGAAAAGAAAGGAAAAAGGAAGAGGGCCGUGGGCCGGUGUUGGACCGCAGAAAAAGUAAGAAAAAGAAAAAUCGGCCCGCGGAGCCCGUCGGGAGGAAAGGAUAAGGCCGGCGGGUAGAAGGAAUAGGAAGAGUGGGGUCCGCGCCGUGGGGCCCAGUGGUUCGUGAGAGAGGGUAGAGAGUGGGUGAGUAAGAAAAGUAUUCCGGGUGAUUUUCUGGAAAAAUUAGAUUUCCUUUAGCGAAAUAAUUUGUUUAAAUUCGUUUUACACCUUUUUAAUCACAGAAAUUUGUAGGAGUGUCCAAAAUUAGUGAAACCAAUUUUGUUAGGCUUAUUUUAUUUUCCUUUAUGCAAUAAAAUUUUUACACCCUAGGAAAAUAAUAAAAAUUCGGGUAUUUAUUUAAUGCCUUCCUUUUUAAG
rnacentral:lncRNA from 1 species